CUUGCUCGAUAAGCUUAUUUUAGCUCCCAUCCAAGAAGCUUAUAUGUUAUAAUUAAAAGUACUUGGUUUUUCAUGAUAAGAUAAAGAAAUAAAGUUUUAUAAGUCAAACUUGCCUGUUUUUGGCACUGUCCUUUCAUGCUUCCUACUUAGGUUAAAGCUACUUCUCUUUUGUAAUUCAAGAAAAUGGUUCUGUAAUCUCGACGUAUACUGAUAUCCUUCCAUGAUCAGCCUGUUAUUGUUGUAAUGUCAUUACUUGCUUGUUGUAUGUUGACUGCACCGCAAAAAUAAAG